UACGGAGGUGGCAAGCGUUGUUCGGAAUUACUGGGCGUAAAGGGCUCGUAGGUGGCCAACUAAGUCAGACGUGAAAUCCCUCAGCUUAACUGGGGAACUGCGUCUGAUACUGGAUGGCUUGAGUUUGGGAGAGGGAUGCGGAAUUCCAGGUGUAGCGGUGAAAUGCGUAGAUAUCUGGAGGAACACCGGUGGCGAAGGCGGCAUCCUGGACCAACACUGACACUGAGGAGCGGAAGCCAGGGGAGCAAACGGG
rnacentral:rRNA from 1 species